rnacentral:rRNA from 1 species
AUUGAACGCUGGCGGCAGGCCUAACACAUGCAAGUCGAACGAGUGGCGGACGGGUGAGUAAUGUCUGGGAAACUGCCUGAUGGAGGGGGAUCACUACUGGAAACGGUAGCUAAUACCGCAUACCCUCAGAUGUGCCCAGUUGGGAUUAGCUUGUUGGUGGGGUAACGGCUCACCAGGGCGACGAUCCCUAGCUGGUCUGAGAGGAUGACAAGCAAAACGGGAACUGAGACCCGGUCCAGACUCCUACGGGAGGAGGCGGUGGGGAGUAGUUCACAAUGGGCGAAAGCCUGAUGCAGCCAUGCCGCGUGUAUGAAGAAGGCCUUCGGGUUGUAAAGUACUUUCAGCGGGGAGGCGUUACCCGCAGAGGAAGCACCGGCUAACUCCGUGCCAGCAGCCGCGGUAAUAC